GAUGAACGCUGGCGGCGUGCCUAAUACAUGCCAGUCGAGCGAACGGACGAGAAGCUUGCUUCUCUGAUGUUAGCGGCGGACGGGUGAGUAACACGUGGAUAACCUACCUAUAAGACUGGGAUAACUUCGGGAAACCGUAGCUAAUACCGGAUAAUAUUUUGAACCGCAUGGUUCAAAAGUGAAAGACGGUCUUGCUGUCACUUAUAGAUGGAUCCGCGCUGCAUUAGCUAGUUGGUAAGGUAACGGCUUACCAAGGCAACGAUGCAUAGCCGACCUGAGAGGGUGAUCGGCCACACUGGAACUGAGACACGGUCCAGACUCCUACGGGAAGCAGCAGUAGGGAAUCUUCCGCAAUGGGCGAAAGCCUGACGGAGCAACGCCGCGUGAGUGAUGAAGGUCUUCGGAUCGUAAAACUCUGUUAUUAGGGAAGAACAUAUGUGUAAGUAACUGUGCAAAUCGUGACGGGACCUAAUCAGAAAGCCACGGCUAACUACG
rnacentral:rRNA from 1 species